rnacentral:lncRNA from 1 species
ACAGGCUUGCAUCAAGCAAACUCACCGCAUGAUACAUCAGCGAUGAGGAGGAAGGAAGAGACAAAGAAGGAGAGGGCAGUGUUUCAUCAAAUGCUCCUCAGGUAUUCUGGAGUGGAUUUAUGCAGCAGGCAGUAAUACAACACAAAAGGCAGAUGGACUGCGGGAAUACUAAAGCGAUUUGUUUGCCCACAAAUAAUAUCCUAGCAAAGCACAACUGAAGUAUAAUCAAUUAAGAGCUUUCAUGUGGUUUUGCUGAGUGUAAAACAACAAGGCAUCAAGGCUUGCAUUGGCACAAACUGCUCAGAUCUCAAGGCAAGUAAAUAUUUAGCCAAUAAUUUUGAUUUUGAGCAACAAAAUGCAUCUUUGCUCUUUAGCUGCUGACUUGUGUCUUUAAUUGCAGGGAUAAGGCACACUAGGAUAGCAGACUUUAACUCAACGUCUUCUGCAGUGGGACAUUGGUGUCUCUGCAGGAAAUCAGAAAAAAAGCCUUUGGCCUCAAGAUUUCUGUACGGUAAAAUAAUUUUUCUGUAGCUGUCACAUCCAGAGCUCCUAUCCUCGUGUAAACCAGCAGCCUUUACUGC